rnacentral:rRNA from 1 species
CCUACGGGUGGCAGCAGUAGGGAAUUUUGCGCAAUGGGCGAAAGCCUGACGCAGCAACGCCGCGUGAUCGAGACGCCCUUCGGGGUGUAAAGAUCUGUCAGUGGGGACGAAACUUGACGGUACCCACAGAGGAAGCCCCGGCUAACUCAGGGCCAGCAGCCGCGGUAAUACGGGGGGUGCAAGCGUUGUCCGGAAUCAUUGGGCGUAAAGAGUUCGUAGGCGGCACGUAAAGUCUGGUGUUAAAGGCAGGGGCUCAACUUCUGUACGGCACUGGAUACUUGCGCGCUGGAAUGCGGUAGAGGUAAAGGGAAUUCCUGGUGUAGCGGUGAAAUGCUUAGAUAUCAGGAGGAACAUCGGUGGCGUAGGCGCUUUACUGGGCCGUAAUUGACGCUGAGGAACGAAAGCCAGGGUAGCAAAUGGGAUUAGAUACCCGUGUAGUC